rnacentral:lncRNA from 1 species
AAAGACUCCAUUCAGAUAUUUUGUCAGCUACAGGCUUCAGUGGCAAAUGGCAAGACAACUAGCAUCACCAGCUGGAGGAAGGAUGUUGUCCUAGAGCUGGUCACAGCAUGGAGCCUCAGGACCCGGGCCCUUCCCAUUAACUGAAGGCAGAAGUCCGCAGAAGGCCGCAGAACUCCGCAGAAGGCCGCAGAACUCCGCAGAAGGCCGCAGAACUCCGCAGAAGUCCGCACACAGUAAGGAAGUUGCCUCCGCGUCCAGCCCGCUGAUUGAGCAGGCCGAGAGCCAAUGCGCAAAGAAGGUCCGUUUCCGUUUGUUUUCCUCAUACUUUUCCUUCUUUCUGACCAGUAAGCCACAGAGUUAUGGAAAAGGCUGGGGAAGAAUCUGUGGCCGAGUCCUUCUUCCCACAGGUCCACUAAUUAUGGAGAACCAAAGUUUUUUCUUAAAACUGACGGGACAAUCGAUGAACCUGACCACUGCAGACAUGGACUUCCCUAAACUUCAAUCUGUGGAGAGAGGCCUCAGAGUCUUCACUCGCUAUUUCAUUUUCAGGCUCCUUCCAGCAAAAUAAAAGUAAAAACAACAGCUAUUUGAUGGCUCAUUGCCUUUGUUUCCCUGGUAGAUCCUCAGGGACGUUCCAAGGACAUUCUACUUUGAGUGUCAUAGAAAAAGCACCAGAAUCACAGUCUGAUAUCUUAAGAGUGACAAGAGACCAGCAUUCAAGACUUAGCUUCUGAUAAUGGUAUGUAUGGAUAAAGCCACUUGCUUCCUGCAUGACAAUGGCCAGGUUCUUUUACCUCUCUGUGUCUAAAUU